AUAACUUGUUUCACAGAAACCUGCUUUAUGGUUUUAGACAUUAGAUGUUUAGGUUGCAAGGGUUUACAGGUUUAAAUAGGAGGAAAGACUGAGACAGGCCUACAUCCA